CGGGCAAGCGGGCGGCGGCGGCGGCGGCGGCUCUCUUCACUGUCGAGAGAGAGAUACCUGAGCCGGCAGGUCAACUCAGGUUACCUCAACAGGUAUAAGACCCCCGAGGGGGCUGAAUGCCAACCAGAGAGAGCGGUCCCCUAACAACCAAAGGUGGGUUCCCCAGGGGGUCCUUAAGUCUGGGGACUUUAGAAGGAAAAGCACAUCUUAUCCCCAGACACUUCAGCCAUCAGAACCCUCUUGCCCCUAUCCAGCUGCCCUGUCCUCCCUAGAUUCUUAAGAUGCCUUGUCAGCUGGCUGUGGGUAGUAGAGAGGGCCAGAGGCAAGGACACUCCACAUACCCAGUCAGGGCUGCACUGCCCCUUCAGACACCAGCUCAUGCCUCAGGCAGGAAGCCCGGGCAAUGGCCACGAGCUUGCUGGAGGCUCUGAGAGCAAAGCCGCUGGUGGGAACAGAAGGAGAGGGCAGCUGUGGUUCUCUGGCUUCUGGCUGGGCUGAUCCAGGAGGUUGCUUCUUAGGAGACCCCUUGUAUCUGGGUUGGAGGAGUCUAAAGCAGGCCUCUUAGUUGUCCCCACAUACCCUAACCCCAUAGGAAAUGCCAGUUUGGCCUGGAGGGGCCUCCUGGCUUCACUGCAUCCGCGCCCCCGCCCCAACUCCCCCAGGCAGGCUGCCCAGGCCAGGAUGUGGAUGGGAACUGUCAACAGACACUCUUUAAAUAUUUACCCACUCUUCUGGGGGGGGGGGGUUUCCCCCAUCCCCAAGACUGGGUAAAUUCAAGUUAAUGCUAAUGGAUAAAAGACCCUUAUCCCAUCAGCACCCUUCUCAGGCCAUAAACAUGUACAGUUACAUGGACUGAACACAGACAGAAAAGGGAGAAAGAGAGCUGUGGACACGUGUGCUCUGUGCAGGUGAAUGAAGAAGAAGAAUGAUUUUUCUGGUCCUCCCCCUCCACAGUAUGUAAGGGCAAUACGGGGCCAUACUCAGGAUCCACACAUAUUGUAUAUGCUCUCUUCCACCACAAACAACAUCAAAUGCACACACACUCAACUAUCAGAAAGCACCCCUGACACUUCACAGAUGCUGUGCACACUUGUGCACACCCAGACAUAAAUGAAAAUAAGACCUGAUAAACACACAUGCAUCUUUUGCUCUUUGCAUCAUAAAAAAGAAAAAUGCUACCUAUUUUCCUUCCACAUUUUGGAGUUUCAGGGUUGGAUGAGGAAGGAGGCAGUUAGAAAAUCAGAUCUUUUUCUUCGCUAUCCAUCCAGAGCCCAGCUCUAGGGAUGAAGGAAGAAAUAAAAGCGCAGGGGAGGACGAUGCAGAGAGAAUGAGUCUCCCCCUUCUGUAUCUAAAUAAUUGCUUGGGAAAUAGUCACUCUCAGCCACAUUCCCAAAGGAGAACCACUGGGGCCCCAGCAAGAGAUCAGGAUACCCUGAAUUUGGAGGAAUCCACCCCCAUCUGAGUGAGGUGGAGACUGCUCCAACUCUGUGACACCACACCCAUAACUCUGACCCUGGAGCUGCAGGAGGGGAGGGUCAGAGGGCCAUGCCAGGGCUGCAGGGUCCAGGGCAGUGGGGGACAUGACAGAGAUUUCCUCCACUACCAGAGCACGCUGCAGCCUUGGUUCAGCCUCUGCCUUCUUUGGGCCUGCUCUGUAGGUUCUAAACUGGCAGACUCUGGACUCCCAGCUUCUAGGUCACUGGGGACUGUCAUAAAUACUUUCCCUUUCCCUCUUGGAAAGCAGAGGCUGAGCAGGCCAUAUCCGCUCUGGGGCCUGCGCCUUAUCUUUUAGGGGGUGGGGGGAUAUCUCAACAUUUUAUGGGCCAGUGAAAAUCCUGCCACAGAGCUAUCCUUCCGGGCCUUUGUGUCUUGGAAUGCAACUGUCCAGAGUGUGCUUCAUGCAUCGCCUGCUUUGAGAGCCCACCAGUCCCCAAAGCCCGGACUGGACUUGAUUUCCCCUUUCAAGGGUCCCUCGCCUUUUCUCUCUUUAGUUCAUUUGAUUGUUUUUUACAUGUUUCUGGUUGAUUUUGCUCCUCGAGCCUGGAAAUAAAGGAACCGCAAGCAGCCAUCCUUGCUGGCGCGUCUCCGUCCCUCGCCCCGAGGCCUGCACCGCCCUCCUAGCGAUUAUUUUCAACGCCCGCCCUUCUGAGCCUCCCGAGUCUGCUGGGAGAGCGAGGACCCAUCUCCUGCCGCCACUCGCGAUUUAUUUACACCUCGCAGGUGAGAGGAUUGAUUUGCUCAGAGCCAGAGGGGCCGGGCUGGGCCGGGGCACCCAACCUUUUAGUCGCUGCUCCUGGGGCCAGGCCUCAAAUGUCAGUGCGGCCAGGCCGGCUAGGGGCACCGCCGCCGCCUCUAACAUUGAGCAACAGCGCCACCUCGCGUCCACUUGCUCCAAUGCAGUUCGGCCGAGAAAAAGCCAGCGGCUGAGAGCGAGCAGGUCCCCAGGCUUGACCCAAAGGUCGGGGAUGGGAGGAAGGAGUUUCCAAAUGAAUGAGCAAGAGAGGGGUCCCCGGAAGGGACUCUCCCCUCCCCAGGAGCGCUGUUCUUUUGUUUUCUAAACCGUCGAACUAAACCUUGUCCAAGGUUUUAUACUAUUUUCUCUUUUUGUCACCCUCCCUUCCCGCAUUGAGACACUGUGCAAAAGGAACUGCCGCGAUUAUCCCCACAACCAGGCGCAUUUCUGGCCUCGGAACACCGCGCACGCAGACACACGCACCGAAGCUCCCGCAACCGCCUGCCCGUGGCGCGCACCCUAAACUCUUCGCUCUUCUUACCCUGCCUCCUGCUCCGUACCGCCUAUUCCGCCGCCGCCUGCAGGACUUUGGGGUGGGACUCUGACUUCUCCCGGCUCUUUGCCCCCUGGUUUGUGGCCCAGCCCUCUCUCACGCGCGCUCUCUCUCCACUUCUCCCUCCCAUCCAGUGAGGUCCUGUUCUCCGUGGGCCAUAGACAAAACAUUCCUAUAAUCCGAUUUCAAAGGAAAGAGUGUCCACCUUAUUUAAACCAUAAAACAAUUAAGCCCAGACGUCUAGCCAGCUCCGCGCUGCUGUUUUGUUCGGCCCCAUUCAGAAUCCAGCGCAGGGAGACAAACAGCGCCAUAAAAGUGGCAUUUCGGGGCCUCGGAAAUGUACCUACCCUCUGCCUUCCCAAGUGGAACAACCUUUAGGGUUUUGUGAUUCUGACAAAGGAGCAGAGGAGAGGUGGGAGGGGAGGAUUAGGGCAGGGGGGCGUUUGCAAGCCCCUCUUUCGUCCCUAGCUUUCGUUUCUUUCCCUAGAUGUGUGUCGUGUUGUUGUGGUUUGAGUUCACAAAUGACAAUAAAUAAAAAUCGAAUCCAAUCCUGACCUGCAGGCUGGAGGCUGAGCUGGUACUGAACCGUGGGCUGGACCGCGUGGGCCUACUCUGGAUCCCACGCUCUGGUCAGGGCCCUCCUUCCUGCCCGGAGCCAGACCGGCUCAGGCGGGCCGCAGGAAGCAGGCCGCGCUGACGGUCGGACGAGGGGAGGCGACAGGGCCUUGGAGCAGGGGCGGGGUGGAGGCCCGGAAACACCGCCGAGCUCGGGCCGGGAGAGAAGCUUGAGUCCCCGCGGUCAGGACCGAGGGAGAUGGGUGGGUGCCUUGUCCUCCGCGCGGGGCGCAACUGAGGCCAGGGUCCCAGAGGAGGAGCGAGGUAGGGAGAAAACUACAUGCAAAGCACCUUUCAAAAGGACCAAGAAAACAAUCGCUUCUGGAAUUGGGAAGUCUGUUCUUAAGCGGGAAAGAGGAGGGGUGCUUCAGCGACUGGGAAAACCAAACCGCGACUUUAGAUUGUCUCCCUCAAAAUAUUAUCAAAAACAAAACGUUCACCUCUUCCCACCUUCCUCCAGCCCCUGAAACUGGGCUAUUUAACAGGAGGAGUGGGUAGGAGAUUCAAAUGAUGGGAAGGGGCUGGUCCCUACAAGUGCCUCACCAAUCCUGGAAGGUGAUGGCCAUGGGGGAAGCUGCUUAGGAAUUGGGGUCCCCAAUUAUUUUCCUUUACUGUGGUAUUCCCCAAGUAUUCAGAGCAACACCCUGCACUCUCGCCAAAAUGGGCAGCCUGAGAUAUUAAAGGGCUAUAUUUCAAGCAGUCUGAGUUUAAUAGUUUCCAGAUUGGGGGAUUUCCGAGAAAGGGGGCGCUGGGCUGAAGCAUACCCGGCAGCUUGAGUCUGCUUCUGAUUAACAGAUGAAAACUGCUAGUUCUGUGGAAGGCUCUCGGGGUGCUAGGCAAUCGACCAUCCCCACUGGGCUGUUGUUACACACACAUAUCCCCAAAUCUUCGCCCCUGAGGUCCUACAGCCACCAGAGUACACCCCACUUCUGGCUAAUCCCUGACCAGCUUCCUUUGGCCCUAGCCUCGGGAUCUCCUAGAAAUGCUGCGGUUGCUCAGCAUAACCACUGUCACCCCCAGAUCAACGUUCAAAUCAGGCACCAGAGAGAGAGAGAGGUUGAAUAGAAAAGAGAGAACUAGGAGAUGGAGAGAGGAACUGAGAAUACACUGAGAAAUAGAAACGCAAUCAAAUCUUGAUUGCAUUGGUGUUGCCAUCUUUCUUCUCUCUCCCUCCUUUCCUCCCUUUUCUUUCUUCCCUAUUCUCUCCCCCUGCUCUCUCUCUGCAUCUUCUUUCACUCUCAGUGUCCAGUGCCUGUCCAGUUCCCUGAGGCCUGCAGGGCCUUCCUCUUCACCGCACACCCUCCUUAGCAGCCUCCCCCCCACCAAGACACCCCUCAAAGCACCGAUGCAGCCAGGCAGGAAUCCAGCCCCGGCCUGCACCCAGCACGCAACCUUCAUCUUUACCUAUCUCUUCCCUCCGAUCUCAUGUACUCAUAAAUUAUUACAAUUAAUUACAGCCAAGGAAAACCAUUCAUGCCGUACCCCCACCCCCAGGGACUCCAUCGAGCUACCAGGAGACUCACAGGCAGCCAGCCAAGGAAGGCACAGGCGGCACCCGGGCCUCAGAAGCCUCCACCACCCCCCUGGAGCCUCUUAGCCCCAUCACACCCUGCCUGGGGAGGAGUGGCGGGCACUUGCCCUUCCGAAGCAGGAGGAGACCCUUGCCUGGCUCCCACCUCCCCUAAAGGAUCUAAGCACUUGU